UACAGAGGGUGCGAGCGUUUGUUCGGAAUUACUGGGCGUAAAGCGCGCGCAGGCGGCUUCUUAAGUCCAUCGGUGAAAUGCCGGGGCUCAACCCCGAGUGUGCCGAGGAUACUGGGGAGGCUGGAGACGAGUAGAGGCAAGCGGGAAUUCCGGGUGUAGCGGUGGAAUGCGUAGAGAUCCGGAAGAACACCGGAGGCGAAGGGCGGCUUGCUGGGCUUGGUCUGACGCUGAGGCGCGAAAGCGUGGGGGAGCGAACAGG
rnacentral:rRNA from 1 species